rnacentral:rRNA from 1 species
AUUGAACGCUGGCGGCAGGCCUAACACAUGCAAGUCGAGCGGAUGAAGGGAGCUUGCUCCUGGAUUCAGCGGCGGACGGGUGAGUAAUGCCUAGGAAUCUGCCUGGUAGUGGGGGAUAACGUCCGGAAACGGGCGCUAAUACCGCAUACGUCCUGAGGGAGAAAGUGGGGGAUCUUCGGACCUCACGCUAUCAGAUGAGCCUAGGUCGGAUUAGCUAGUUGGUGGGGUAAAGGCCUACCAAGGCGACGAUCCGUAACUGGUCUGAGAGGAUGAUCAGUCACACUGGAACUGAGACACGGUCCAGACUCCUACGGGAGGCAGCAGUGGGGAAUAUUGGACAAUGGGCGAAAGCCUGAUCCAGCCAUGCCGCGUGUGUGAAGAAGGUCUUCGGAUUGUAAAGCACUUUAAGUUGGGAGGAAGGGCAGUAAGUUAAUACCUUGCUGUUUUGACGUUACAAACAGAAUAAGCACCGGCUAACUUCGUG